rnacentral:misc_RNA from 1 species
UCUCCGUUGGUGAACCAGCGGAAGGAUCAUUACAGGACUCGCAAGACUCCUACAACCCUGUGAACUUAACUAUAAGCACGUUGCUUCGGCGGGUGUCUCGGAGGGGGUUCUCCCUCCCCGAGACGCUAAACCCGCCGGCAGCCUACUAUACUCUGUCUCUUUGCGUUGGCAUCUCGAGUACAAUCAAACAAGUUAAAACUUUCAACAACGGAUCUCUUGGUUCUG